ACGACUUAACCCACGAUAAAGAGAACAAACAAUAGGACGUUUGAAUGCUGGACAGCGACUUCAAGUCGUUGCAAAUGCAUCUAACUGCAAUGUAAGCACCACCCAACGUCUACGUGAACGCCACAAUGCAACAAACAGUACAAAUGACCGUCCACGUACUCAACGCUAAUGGCGGACCUGAAUUAAAUAAAUCUGUGACAUGGUAGUGAAAAAGUGUAUCAAUGAACAGUAAAUGAACUGAAAUGAUGCGAAUUUGUUAAAUAACAAGGGUAUUUAUACGCCCA
rnacentral:lncRNA from 1 species